rnacentral:rRNA from 1 species
GAUGAACGCUAGCGGCAGGCCUAACACAUGCAAGUCGAGGGAGGAGCUUUCGGGCUUCGACCGGCGUACGGGUGCGUAACGCGUAUACAAUCUGCCUUUCACAUAGGGAUAGCCCGAAGAAAUUUGUAUUAAUACCUAAUGGUAUAUAGAGGUGGCAUCACCUUUAUAUUAAAGCUGAGGCGGUGAAAGAUGAGUAUGCGUUCUAUUAGCUAGUUGGAGAGGUAACGGCUCCCCAAGGCGACGAUAGAUAGGGGUUCUGAGAGGGAUAUCCCCCACACUGGUACUGAGAUACGGACCAGACUCCUACGGGAGGAAGCAGUGAGGAAUAUUGGACAAUGGUCGGAAGACUGAUCCAGCCAUGCCGCGUGCAGGAAGACGGCCUUAUGGGUUGUAAACUGCUUUUGCAGGGGAAGAAUAAGGACUACGCGUAGUUUGAUGACGGUACUCUGCGAAUAAGCAUCGGCUAACUCCGUG